rnacentral:rRNA from 1 species
CCCUAUGGGGCGCGACUUUGAACUGGUUUCGCUUCGGGGUAAGAAGAUCUCGGGCUGCAUUGCUUGCCUGGGUUGCGUGAAGGACAACGUAUGCAAGGUGGAGGACGACCUGGCGCCCCUGCGUGAAAGGAUUGUGAACGCUGACGCCUACGUCAUCGGCGCUCCCAAUUAUUAUUCCGGGAUGAAUGUCGCCACCCACGCUCUGCUGGAGAGGUUCUUCCAGUUCCGGCACCAGGAGGGGAGUCUCCUCUGGGGAAAGCUGGCUGUUGCGGUCGGAAUUGGCGGGAGGGC